AUGAACGCUAGCUACAGGCUUAACACAUGCAAGUCGAGGGGCAUCAUGGAGGUUGCUUGCAACUUCUGAUGGCGACCGGCGCACGGGUGAGUAACGCGUAUCCAACCUUCCCUAUAGUAUCGGAUAGCCCGGCGAAAGUCGGAUUAAUACGGUAUGUGAUUCAAAGCGGCCAUCUGAUUUGAAUGAAAGAUUUAUCGCUAUAGGAUGGGGAUGCGUCUGAUUAGCUUGUCGCGGGGUAACGGCCCACCGAGGCAACGAUCAGUAGGGGUUCUGAGAGGAAGGUCCCCACAUUGGUACUGAGACACGGACCAAACUCCUACGGGAGGCAGCAGUGAGGAAUAUUGGUCAAUGGACGAGAGUCUGAACCAGCCAAGUAGCGUGCAGGAAGACUGCCCUAUGGGUUGUAAACUGCUUUUAUAGGGGAAUAAAGUUCACUACGUGUAGUGUUUUGUAUGUACCCUAUGAAUAAGGACCGGCUAAUUCCGUGCC
rnacentral:rRNA from 1 species